GGGUUGUGAGGUUAAGCGACUAAGCGUACACGGUGGAUGCCCUGGCAGUCAGAGGCGAUGAAGGACGUGCUAAUCUGCGAUAAGCGUCGGUAAGGUGAUAUGAACCGUUAUAACCGGCGAUUUCCGAAUGGGGAAACCCAGUGUGUUUCGACACACUAUCAUUAACUGAAUCCAUAGGUUAAUGAGGCGAACCGGGGGAACUGAAACAUCUAAGUACCCCGAGGAAAAGAAAUCAACCGAGAUUCCCCCAGUAGCGGCGAGCGAACGGGGAGCAGCCCAGAGCCUGAAUCAGUGUGUGUGUUAGUGGAAGCGUCUGGAAAGGCGCGCGAUACAGGGUGACAGCCCCGUACACAAAAAUGCACAUACUGUGAGCUCGAUGAGUAGGGCGGGACACGUGGUAUCCUGUCUGAAUAUGGGGGGACCAUCCUCCAAGGCUAAAUACUCCUGACUGACCGAUAGUGAACCAGUACCGUGAGGGAAAGGCGAAAAGAACCCCGGCGAGGGGAGUGAAAAAGAACCUGAAACCGUGUACGUACAAGCAGUGGGAGCACGCUUCGGCGUGUGACUGCGUACCUUUUGUAUAAUGGGUCAGCGACUUAUAUUCUGUAGCAAGGUUAACCGAAUAGGGGAGCCGAAGGGAAACCGAGUCUUAACUGGGCGUUAAGUUGCAGGGUAUAGACCCGAAACCCGGUGAUCUAGCCAUGGGCAGGUUGAAGGUUGGGUAACACUAACUGGAGGACCGAACCGACUAAUGUUGAAAAAUUAGCGGAUGACUUGUGGCUGGGGGUGAAAGGCCAAUCAAACCGGGAGAUAGCUGGUUCUCCCCGAAAGCUAUUUAGGUAGCGCCUCGUGAAUUCAUCUCCGGGGGUAGAGCACUGUUUCGGCAAGGGGGUCAUCCCGACUUACCAACCCGAUGCAAACUGCGAAUACCGGAGAAUGUUAUCACGGGAGACACACGGCGGGUGCUAACGUCCGUCGUGAAGAGGGAAACAACCCAGACCGCCAGCUAAGGUCCCAAAGUCAUGGUUAAGUGGGAAACGAUGUGGGAAGGCCCAGACAGCCAGGAUGUUGGCUUAGAAGCAGCCAUCAUUUAAAGAAAGCGUAAUAGCUCACUGGUCGAGUCGGCCUGCGCGGAAGAUGUAACGGGGCUAAACCAUGCACCGAAGCUGCGGCAGCGACACUAUGUGUUGUUGGGUAGGGGAGCGUUCUGUAAGCCUGUGAAGGUGUGCUGUGAGGCAUGCUGGAGGUAUCAGAAGUGCGAAUGCUGACAUAAGUAACGAUAAAGCGGGUGAAAAGCCCGCUCGCCGGAAGACCAAGGGUUCCUGUCCAACGUUAAUCGGGGCAGGGUGAGUCGACCCCUAAGGCGAGGCCGAAAGGCGUAGUCGAUGGGAAACAGGUUAAUAUUCCUGUACUUGGUGUUACUGCGAAGGGGGGACGGAGAAGGCUAUGUUGGCCGGGCGACGGUUGUCCCGGUUUAAGCGUGUAGGCUGGUUUUCCAGGCAAAUCCGGAAAAUCAAGGCUGAGGCGUGAUGACGAGGCACUACGGUGCUGAAGCAACAAAUGCCCUGCUUCCAGGAAAAGCCUCUAAGCAUCAGGUAACAUUAAAUCGUACCCCAAACCGACACAGGUGGUCAGGUAGAGAAUACCAAGGCGCUUGAGAGAACUCGGGUGAAGGAACUAGGCAAAAUGGUGCCGUAACUUCGGGAGAAGGCACGCUGAUAUGUAGGUGAAGUCCCUCGCGGAUGGAGCUGAAAUCAGUCGAAGAUACCAGCUGGCUGCAACUGUUUAUUAAAAACACAGCACUGUGCAAACACGAAAGUGGACGUAUACGGUGUGACGCCUGCCCGGUGCCGGAAGGUUAAUUGAUGGGGUUAGCGGUAACGCGAAGCUCUUGAUCGAAGCCCCGGUAAACGGCGGCCGUAACUAUAACGGUCCUAAGGUAGCGAAAUUCCUUGUCGGGUAAGUUCCGACCUGCACGAAUGGCGUAAUGAUGGCCAGGCUGUCUCCACCCGAGACUCAGUGAAAUUGAACUCGCUGUGAAGAUGCAGUGUACCCGCGGCAAGACGGAAAGACCCCGUGAACCUUUACUAUAGCUUGACACUGAACAUUGAGCCUUGAUGUGUAGGAUAGGUGGGAGGCUUUGAAGUGUGGACGCCAGUCUGCAUGGAGCCGACCUUGAAAUACCACCCUUUAAUGUUUGAUGUUCUAACGUUGACCCGUAAUCCGGGUUGCGGACAGUGUCUGGUGGGUAGUUUGACUGGGGCGGUCUCCUCCUAAAGAGUAACGGAGGAGCACGAAGGUUGGCUAAUCCUGGUCGGACAUCAGGAGGUUAGUGCAAUGGCAUAAGCCAGCUUGACUGCGAGCGUGACGGCGCGAGCAGGUGCGAAAGCAGGUCAUAGUGAUCCGGUGGUUCUGAAUGGAAGGGCCAUCGCUCAACGGAUAAAAGGUACUCCGGGGAUAACAGGCUGAUACCGCCCAAGAGUUCAUAUCGACGGCGGUGUUUGGCACCUCGAUGUCGGCUCAUCACAUCCUGGGGCUGAAGUAGGUCCCAAGGGUAUGGCUGUUCGCCAUUUAAAGUGGUACGCGAGCUGGGUUUAGAACGUCGUGAGACAGUUCGGUCCCUAUCUGCCGUGGGCGCUGGAGAACUGAGGGGGGCUGCUCCUAGUACGAGAGGACCGGAGUGGACGCAUCACUGGUGUUCGGGUUGUCAUGCCAAUGGCACUGCCCGGUAGCUAAAUGCGGAAGAGAUAAGUGCUGAAAGCAUCUAAGCACGAAACUUGCCCCGAGAUGA
rnacentral:rRNA from 1 species